UCACUUAAACAUGAAUGUACAAACAAUAUUUUGUUAAUGAUAGUUACACUUGGGAAAUUACACACUUUUACAACAAAUGAACAUACAAAACAGUUAAGCCUUGGUAGAAGGCUACUUUAAUAGAAAAUAUAGGUUUUUCUGAGAGAGUCAAACUUUUAUAAACACUUACAAACCUUUACAUACAUUUUACAAACUUACACUUGAGACAGUGUUCAAACGUUUUGAUAACAAACACCGACACUAAAAUACUUAUGAACUCACCACCUUAAUGCUGAUAAACUCUUUCAAAAUAACUUGUAUUCUCAGGUCGACAGUAGACAGGUACCGAGGCCAGCUUGUGAGAAGAUGGAGCGCAUCCAAGACUCAUCUUAUUAUUUUGAUUCACAUUAUUUUUGGUGUCUAUAACUGUAAAGAACACACUUGUGUUAAAAUUAUAUAUUUAUUGCAAUGGAUGAUGUUGUAUGCUUGUUUACUUUUACUGUGUUGUGAUACUUUACAUGACGUCCUCCGCCCCAGAACGUUUCCGCCGUUCUUGGUUUUGGGGUGUGACAGAUUGGUAUCAGAGCAUUGUUUAUAGUGAAUUGAGUAUAUCAACCCAUAAAAGAUAUACUAACUAUAAACCCAUUUGGGAUUAAAGCACUCUGACCAAGAGUCUAUACUUUAAAUAUUAAAAUAUUUAAUUAAGUAUACUAGUCUGCAUUCAUACUAAAAUCAGUGUCACAAUGACAAGAACAAAAGUAUUACGAUUGUUAAAUAUCACAAGUGAGCUCGGGGAUGUAUGGUCAGUUCUGGGAAUGGCAUACCCUGAUCAACUAUGCUGGUCCGAGGAGUGAUUAGCAUAUGCCCUAGAAUAGUUGUGAUAUGUUAACAAGACUAAAAACUUACCAACAAUACCACAAGAAGAUCAGUAGAACCUAAACUUAAAAUACUAUGGGUGUAUUUUGUACUACUACUAGCUACAUAUAUACUAUAUUCUUAUACCUCUCUUCUCGCGUAGAUUUAAAUGGCUGGAUUCCAUCAUGGCGACCCAUACUUCCCCAACCACGGCAAUGCAGGAUGGCUGGAAGAGGAACCGGAAGAUGAUCACCCGAUUCCUUUGGAUGAUCAUGAAGCUGAAGGCUUUUCUGAUGGUUCUGACUCGGAACCCGAUGUCAACAAUCUACCUCCCGUAGGUCAAGCCCCAAACAACAAUCUUCGACCAGCUUUUCCAGGUCCCACUCCCUUGUGGGUAAACAACUUGAAUCGCUGAAGUGACGAACAGGGUCAACCCUUACCUUACUUUGGGGACCGAAGCUUUUACAAUGUUAGCGAAGGUGGUUCUGCGGAUAGAGGUAUGCCCGUCAUGGUCCGUAGAAUUGCUCGAAACGUCGAACAAGGUCGAGCAGCCAUCGACCGAUUCAUGGAAAUUGAUGCCAAAUCAGGCGUUAACACCGUCUGCAUUCGACAUCUGGAAGAAGCACUCGAAGGGACGAGGAGAGUGAAUCAAUCCUUCGAAAUCUGUUCAUGCCCUGCUGCGAGCAAAGUCAAAUAUGCCGCAUGCACCUUUGAAGGAAAGGGCCUGACGUGGUGGAACGGCCACGUUAAAGCGCUGACUCUCGUAGUGGCGAAUGAUAUGGGCUGGGAAACCAUGAAGGACCUCAUGAUUGAGGAGUACUGCCCGAGGGUCGAAAUCCAAAAAUUGGAGCAGGAGCUUUGGAGCCUCACCAUGAAGGGCACCAACGUAGUCUCCUAUACCGCCAGAUUCAGCGAACUGGUGGCCCUCUGCCCCAAUAUGGUUCCCACUGAAGGGAAAAAGAUCGAAAGGUACAUCUGGGGGCUGGUGCCUCCGUACCAAGGAAAUGUUCUAUCAUCAAACCCCACUACUUUCGACAGUGCCAAGCGACUGGCACAACGACUCAUCGACCAUGGAAUCCAAUCCCCAACAGCGACAACAACCCAAGCCGUCUCAGAACCCUUCAAACCCAUUGACUUUAAGCGAAAGUUCUGGGAUCACAAGAAGAAGCAGCGAGCUGCCAAAAAGCAUCAUAUUGUGGCUGUACAUGCUGCAAUAACCCCUACUACUACUACUGCUCCGGUGAGGCAGUAUGCUGGAAGUUUGCCUAAGUGCAACAAAUGCAACUUCCACCACAACGGCCCCUGUCGUGAAAUGCAGUGCUCUAACUACAAUAGAAAAGGACACACCGUUCAUUUCUGUAAAUCCCCAGCGAGGCCGAUCACCCAAGUCCCCGGCUCAGGCGCGAGCCCGACAUGCUAUGGAUGUGGCGAAGCAGGCCACUAUAAGAGAGACUGCCCCAAAGCGAAGAAUGCUGGAGGAGCAAGGAGGGUACUAGCAAUAGGCCAUGGGGAAGCAGUUGCUGACCCGACAGUGGUGACUGGUACAUUCCUCCUAGAUAACUCCUAUGCAUGCAUUUUAUUCGAUAGUGGAGCGGAGCGAAGCUUCGUGAACCAUAAAUUUGCUCGCAUGCUUAAGCAACAACCACACACACUUAAGGAACAAUUUACAGUAGAAAUGGCAAAUGGAAAAACUAAAAGUACGAAUAACAUAUACUUAGGUUGUAUCCUAACUCUAGAUAACCAUUCAUUCCCAAUCGACCUUAUGCCGGUCUCAAUAAAAAGCUUCGACGUUAUCAUUGGUAUGGAUUGGUUAAGUCUUCAUCGCGUCAACAUCAUGUGCUACGAAAAAGCAGUCCGUCUAAACCUUCCGUCUAACGAAACUCUUAUCGUCUAUAGCGACAAACCCGAGCCUCGAAAUGAAAGAACUAAAGAAUACCAUGCAUUCCUUGCCCACGUCGUCGACACGAGCCUCGAAACGAAAGAACUAAAGAACAUUCCAGUAGUGAGCGACUUCCCCGACAUUUUCCCAGAAGAGCUACAAGGAUUACCUCCGCAACGACAAGUCAAAUUCAGAAUCGACUUAGUCCCAGGAGCUACCCCAGUAGCCAAGUCUCCCUACUGAUUAGCACCAGCAGAGAUGCAGGAAUUAUCUGGUCAACUUAACGAACUUCUUAGCAAGGGCUUCAUAAGACCAAGCUUCUCACCUUGGGGAGCACCAGUCUUGUUUGUUAAGUAGAAAGACGGAUCAUUCCGUAUGUGUAUCGACUACAGAGAACUCAACAAACUAACGGUCAAGAAUCGUUACCCUCUGCCACGCAUCGACGAUUUAUUCGACCAACUCCAAGGGGCGAAUUAUUUUUCCAAAAUUGAUCUGAGAUCCGGAUAUCACCAGUUACGAGUGCUAGAGGAGGAUGUUCCGAAGACAGCCUUCCAGACUCGUUACGGACACUACGAGUUCGUGGUGAUGUCAUUCGGAUUGACCAAUGUGUCCGCAGUCUUCAUGGAUUUGAUGAAUGGAGUAUGCCGACCUUACUUGGAUCAGUUCGUAAUUGUUUUCAUAGAUGACAUUCUGAUCUACUCUCGGAGUAAGGAAGAGCAUGGCAAUCACCUACGACAAGUUUUAAGAACUUUACGAACGGAGAAACUCUAUGCAAAGUUCUCGAAGUGUGAAUUUUGGAUCCGAAGAGAAACUCUUACAACACUGACCCAGAAGGGCAUGGCCUUUGACUGGGAAGAGAAACAGGAGAGAGCAUUUCAAACGCUCAAGCGAGCCUUGUGCACCGCACCAAUACUAUCCCUACCCGAACGGAUAGAAGACUUCGUGGUCUAUUGUGAUGCGUCAAACCAAGGGCUCGGUUGUGUCCUGAUGCAACGGGCUAAGGUCAUCGCCUACGCCUCGAGACAGCUGAAGACACAUGAAGUCAACUACACCACACAUGAUCUUGAGUUGGGUGCAGUUGUGUUUGCCCUGAAGAUCUGGAGACAUUACCUGUAUGGCACCAAAAGCACCAUUUUUACUGACCACAAGAGUUUAUAACACAUAUUCGAUCAGAAGGAGCUCAACAUGCGCCAACGACGAUGGGUCGAGCUACUCAAUGACUACGAAUGCGACAUUCGUUAUCAUCCGGGUAAGGCCAACGUAGUAGCGGACGCCCUAAGUCGGAAGGAAUAUUCUGGUCGAAGAAUCAAGUCGUUGACAAUGAUUAUCCAUUCGCACUUGUCUAAGCAAAUUCAGGCGGCCCAACUUGAAGCUAUGAAACCUGAACAUGUGGCGAGUGAAUCCCUCAGAGGAAUGGAUAAGAACUUAGAAGCCAAGGGUGGCGAAGCCCUAUAUUUCAUGGACUGGAUCUGGACCCCGAAACACGGUGGUUUUCGAGACUUGGUCAUGACCGAGGCGCACAACACUCGAUAUUCCGUCCACCCAGGUUCAGAUAAAAUGUAUCUGGAUCUUAAGAAGUUAUACUGGUGGCCUAACAUGAAAGCAGAGAUUGCUACCUUCGUAAGUAAAUGCCUUACUUGCGCAAAGGUUAAGGUCGAGUACCAGAAACCCUCUGGUUUACUACAACAACCAGAGAUCCCAGAAUGGAAGUGGGAGCGGAUCACUAUGGACUUCAUAACCAAGUUGCCCAAGACAACGGGUGGACUUGAUACCAUAUGGGUCAUCGUCGAUAGAUUGACCAAGUCUGCACACUUCCUACCUAUCAAGGAAACCGAUAAGAUGGAGAAACUUACGAGAACAUACAUUAGGGAAAUCGUGCGACUACAUGGUGUUCCUAUAUCCAUUAUCUCCGAUAGAGAUAGUAGGUUCACCUCAAGAUUUUGGCAAUCGUUGCAACAUUCCCUAGGAACAAGGCUAGACAUGAGCACAGCCUACCAUCCUCAGACCGACGGGAAAAGUGAGAGGACCAUUCAAACACUGGAAGACAUGCUGAGAUCCUGUGUGAUUGACUUUGGAAAGGCAUGGGAUACUCAUUUACCUCUUGUCGAAUUUUCCUACAAUGACAGUUAUCACACGAGCAUCAAGGCUGCCCCAUUUGAAGCCCUCUAUGGCCGAAAAUGAAGAUCCCCUCUGUGUUGGGCUGAAGUGGGUGACACCCAGUUAGCUAAGGGGCAACUUUCUGACAGUACUCUCACAGGCCCGGAAAUCAUUCGGGAAACGACAGAGAAGAUUGUUUAGAUCCGUGAACGAUUGAAAGCCUCCAGAGACCGACAGAAAAGCUACGCCGAUAAACGUAGAAAACCAUUGGAAUUCCAGGUGGGCGACCGUGUUUUAUUGAAGGUCUCACCCUGGAAGGGCUUGAUACGCUUCGGAAAGCGUGGAAAGCUAAAUCCAAGGUACAUUGGGCCUUUCGAGAUUCUCGCCAGAAUCGGCCCAGUGGCUUACAAACUCAAUCUACCGAACGAACUUCGUAACGUACAUUCUACCUUCCACGUUUCCAACUUGAAAAAGUGUCUGUCCGACGAGACUCUUGUAAUCCCACUCGACGAGAUCGAUAUCAACGAGAGCCUCAACUUCAUGGAAGAACCUGUAGAGGUCAUGGACCGUGAAGUCAAACAGACGAAACAAAGCCGCAUCCCGAUUGUGAAGGUUCGCUGGAACGCCAAGCGAGGACCAGAAUUUACAUGGGAGUGAGAGGAUCAGAUAAAACUAAAAUAUCCUCAUCUUUUUACUUAGUUUUUUGUAAUAAUCUAGUAACUUAAACUCAAAUUUCGGGACGAAAUUCCCUCUAACGGGGGGAUGAUGUGACAACCCGAAUAACUUCUCGCAUGCACUCUUCAAUUCUUUCCAAUAUUAGACUUAUUUUACUAUAUGGUAGUACCCUUUAGAGCCUAAUGAAGAGUUCUAAAUGUGAUAUAAUCAAGGUAGGAUUGUCAAAAAGGGUUAACUUGAAGUGUAGGAAUCAAAACCGGGCCAAACACUCCAACACAUGGAGUGUGCGGCCACACACUUAAGUGUGCGGCCACACACUUAAGUGUGCGGCCACACACUCAUGUUUGCGGCCUCACACCCUUCCCAACUGCACACUCCACCUAUAUAUACCAUACUUACUCAUUUUUGAACACUUCUUUCACUUCUUCAAGCAUAGAACACGAAAUCCUCUCAAGUAUCAUCCAUCCUAUUUGAAGAUCUUCAUAAAAGGUACCAAGAACACCAAGAACGCCAUGUUUCUGGCAGCACACAUGGCUGCACACAGGGCCGCACACAUGUGCUGGCCGCACACCUGGCCACACACACACAUAUAGUGUAUAUUUUGGACAUACACCCUCUUGUAUAGCCUUAUAAACCCUCAUACAAUCAUAUGUGAUUGUAACACUUCAUUAUAAGUGUUUGCUAGACCCUAAGGUGGUCCCAAUACAUUAAUUAGUCGUUCAUAAUACUAAUUAUAAUCAUAUAUGUAAAAUAUAUACUUAAUAGGAUUCGUGUGUGUACUCAAGUCACCACUUGACACCUAGCAUCUAAUCCAACAUUGUCUUCAGAUUCACUCACUACAAGUGAGUUCAUACCCCUUUAAUUAACCUUUGAAAUACUUUUAAAUGUUUUAAAUGCUUUUAUGGGGGGAUACAAGUUUAUUAUUUAUAGUUAUUACAUCAAUCACAUGUGAUUAAUAACUAUAAAACCAAUAAUUUUAAUACUGUUCACACUGUUUAUCAAACUAUUUUACUUCAAACUGUUUUACAAACUCUUUUACGUAUCAAAUACUUUUACUUAAACUUUGUUACACUUAUUAUAAAUUGCAUGCCCGUAUAUGUAUAGUUAUAUAAGUAAUGUUUAAAAGACUUAGGAAGGCUAUCCACCUUGUUUCCUUUUCCUCGAUUUGGAUGUGGUCUGAUAGGAUAUCGGGUACUCGUCCGAAGGUCGUUUAAAUAUUAAUUAUAUAUCAUGUGUACAUAUAUAGACAUAAAACUGCUUCCAUAUUCAUGCGUACUAGUUACAUCAUUAAUAGGCUACCAUCGGGGUAGUACAAAAUCAUACUUAUACUAUUGCUAGAUCAAUGAGUCAGUUCAUUCAUGAGUCAAUACUUAUUACUAUGAGAACAUAUACAUUACAUUACUAUGAGAACAUAUACAACUAUACUAGAUAGAGAACAUAUACAACUAUACUAGAGAAAGAACAUAUACAACUAUACUAGAGAGAGAACAUAUACAACUAUACUAGAAGGAGAACAUAUACAACUAUACUAGAGAAAGAACACGUACAACUAUACUAGAAGGAGAACAUAUACAACUAUACUAGAGAAAGAACAUAUACAACUAUACUAGAACAGUUCAUUACAUUACAUAUACAAGAAUACGUUAAUUAUUGUGAUAUGAAUCGGAGCAUGACUUAAAUGUCAUGGCCCGAGUUGUAGCCAGAGUCUCUUGAAGGGAGAGCGUGAGUUUGCGUAUAGAUCUAUACUGGAUUGACUAUCCUACACCUUGCUGCUAGCUACAGCCGGACCUGCAGGUCUGCGGGUGCCAAACGUCAUUUCUUUUUACGACCUACAUUUGUCGUUGUUUAUCCAGUCGAUAGUAUGGUACAAUAAAUCACAUGAUACCUUAAUAUAAAUCCGGUUUAAGGUAGUUAGUACAGCAGUAGUUCCUAUAAUACAACACUACAGUACUACAAUAAUUUACCCAUUACAUAUAUUUAGUGAUUAUGUCACUUAAACAUUAAUGUACAAACUAUAUUUUGUUAAUGAUAGUUACACUUGGGAAAUUACACACUUUUACAACAAACGAACAUACAAAACAGUUAAGCCUUGGUAGAAGGCUACUUUAAUAGAAAAUAUAGGUUUUUCUGAGAGAUUCAAACUUUUACAAACACNCAGUUAAGCCUUGGUAGAAGGCUACUUUAAUAGAAAAUAUAGGUUUUUUUGAGAGAUUCAAACUUUUAUAAACACUUACAAACAUUUACAUACAUUUUACAAACUUACACUUGAGACAUUGUUCAAACGUUUUGAUAACAAACACCGACACUAAAAUACUUAUGAACUCACCAGCUUAAUGUUGAUAAACUCUUUCAAAAUAACUUGUAUUCUCAGGUCGACAGUAGAUAGGUAUCGAGGCCUGCUUGUGAGAAGAUGGAGCGCAUCCAAGACUCAUCUUAUUAUUUUG
rnacentral:lncRNA from 1 species